rfam:Heligmosomoides polygyrus genome assembly, scaffold: HPBE_scaffold0004919
GUGGUGUAAGGCGAACAUGGCUGCCCGGAAAGCAGAAGAUGCGGGUUCGAGUCCCGCC